CAUCAACAAAGGGUUUUCAACUCGAGAAGUUAGAGUUGCAUUAGGUAGACCACCACCACUGGAGUGGGAUGUUCGAGGGAAGACUUACAAAGAAAUUGGUGAUUAUUCCCAACAUUUCUCUAGAGAGAUCGGCAUUCUCAUUCGACAAUAUGCCGAUCCCAACUACGACCGAUGGGAUAAAUUACCCAGCGAAGUUAGGGAUCGCAUACUUCCUCGUCUAGAGGAUGAUUUAUUCGACAUUGGUCGAAGUCGAUAUGCCUCAGAGAACCUCCCCGGCAUUCUUUUGGGCAUUCAACGGUCGUGCGCUGAUCGUUACUCGGAGUGGAAGAAUGACUUGUCCACUCAUUUAAAAAAGAAUGGUCGAGCACAUCCUCCUGAUGGUUUGGGCAUGGAGAAAUGAUAGAAGGCGCUCCAGUAUUUUGAUCGCCCUGAAGUGAAGAGAAGCGUGCAGGGUUCACAGUCUACGCCAGCCCUUCGUUACAAGAAGGUACUUUCUUUUUUACAUAAUUUUUAUUUAUGUUUUUUUAUAAUGAUUUUUUUUCUUAAUUUUUUUCAAACUUCUUGUAUUGUAGCGUGAUUUAUAAACUGGGUGUCUUGCUAGAGUUCCAGAGAUUUGGAUGGCGACUAAGUACAUAGACGGGGAAGGUUGGGUGAGCAAGGCAGCAAAGGAUAACUAUGAAAAGAUGAUGGAGAUACGUGACACUCUGCAGUCACAAUCAUCUACGAGCGCCUCUGCUUCGAGUACUAUCCCGAGAGAAGAGGAUGACAUUGUUCUUGUUGAGACGAUCUUUGGACGUCAUUGAGGCUAUCAGCCGGGCCUUGGUCGUAGGAUUCGCACGAGGGCGAAUUGUGAAGCGGAUGAUGUACCUCAACCAGCCCAACCACCUCCUACCACACAAGACAUGCAAGAGGUGAGGGAGCGACUCCGAGCCAUAGAGGAGCACUUGGCUAGGAUUGGUGGAGUCUCGGGAUCUGGAUCUUCUCAGCAAGGUCAUGGUGCCGAUCCUACAACACCUAGUUAAAACAUUUAUAUUUAUAUAUUUUAA